rnacentral:rRNA from 1 species
UGUCCAGACUCCUACGGGAGGCAGCAGUGAGGAAUAUUGGUCAAUGGCCGAGAGGCUGAACCAGCCAAGUCGCGUGGGGGAUGACGGCCCUACGGGUUGUAAACCUCUUUUGCCGGGGAGCAAAGAGCGGGACGCGUCCCGCCUCGAGAGUACCCGGAGAAAAAGCAUCGGCUAACUCCGUGCCAGCAGCCGCGGUAAUACGGAGGAUGCGAGCGUUAUCCGGAUUUAUUGGGUUUAAAGGGUGCGUAGGCGGGCUGUUAAGUCGGCGGUAAAAGCCCGGGGCUCACCCCCGGCGAGCCGUUGAAACUGGCUGUCUUGAGAUGUCGAGAGGUAUGCGGAAUGCGCAGUGUAGCGGUGAAAUGCUUAGAUAUUGCGCAGAACUCCGAUUGCGAAGGCAGCAUACCGGCGGCGAUCUGACGCUGAGGCACGAAAGCGUGGGUAUCGAACAGGAUUAGAUACCCUGGUAGC